rnacentral:lncRNA from 1 species
UUACCGUAACAACUAGACGUAAAAGGCUCAUGAUAUUUAUCCAGUAUUUGAGAUUAAAGAACUGAGUGAAUAUGAAACACUGGAGCUUUUCAAGCGACAUGCCUUCGGGCAAGCCAAUCCCAUUGAAAGUUACUUGGAGUCAUGAACCUCGACCAAAUUGAAGCAAUCUUUGAGAGUCAAUUGCUAAUGGUUUGGGACUUCUGACAAGUUGGGGGUUGUCAUAAGGCCAUGUGAGUGGCUGAGAUUAACGGUUCAGCCUUGGAAGGGAACCAGGGUAUGUUCUAAUCUCUCUUUCUCUCUCUCUCUCUCUCUCUCUCUCUCUCUCUCUCUCUCUCUCUCUCAAAAUACACACAAUCAAAAAUAAAUUUCAGUGAAAUUAAACUCUGUAUUCAUAGCAACUAAUGACUUCUCUUUGACACAGUUUCUUAGAAGAUUGAAAAUUCUUAAUCUCAGUCAUUCUCAUGGCCUUAGGACAACAUUUGUCCGAACUCCCUAAGACCAUCUCCAACCCUUGGACUAAAAGCUAAAUUUUUUAGUCCGGAAAAUUUAGCUUUUAGCCCAGAAACAACUUUUCUGCUCCAAUCCUUCUGGUCUAAAAUUUUAGCCCGGGAUUAUUAAAGAAUGAAUUUAGGCUAAUUUUUUUCUUAAAUUAACUUCUUUUUUUUUUAAAUAAUUAUGUAGACUAUCGUAAAUUAAUUUUAUAAACAUUUUAAUCUAAAAAUAUUUAAAUUCCGAUAAAUAUUGAAAAAUCACUAAAUUUUUCCACAAAGCAAGCCUUCAUUUUUUUUAAAUUAUUUUAGCCGUUGGAUUUAAAUUUGGGCCAUUAGAUCUUUUUUUUUUUACCAUUAGAUUUGAUUAUAUUCGAUCUCAGCCGUUGGAUUCAAUGUAUUUUAAAAUAACAUUUAAAAAAAAUUAAAUUUGAAUCUGGACCGUUGGAUCAACCAACGGUCCAAUAAUGUCAACCGUCCGAUGAACAAAAGAGUCGUUGGGCUUAUAAUUGCUUCCGACAGCAGCCCUGACAGUGGGUCCCACUCUGUCGGGCGCUGAAGGCUAACGCCCGCGUGGGGCGAGUGGUGUGAGUGACCGGGCCGAAAGUGGGCUGGGAAAGAGAGAGUCAACACGUUUGUAGGCUAUUUCUUGGGGGGAAUUUGGCCCUCAAUUGGCAUUUGGCUUUUAGCCCAAAGAUUUGGCUUGGGUUGGAUUGGAUUUUGGGGGAGGGGAAUUGGGGGGAGAAAUUUGGCAUUUAGCCCAAGGUUGGAGAUAGUCUAAAGGAUUGCAUUAAUUUGAUUGGAAACUUGGGGAAACUUAUUUUCUUGAAUCUAAAAGACUGCAAAAGUCUUAUGAAGCUUCCAAAAAGAAUGAACAUGUUGAGGUCUCUUGAGGAAUUUAUUCUUACUGGUUGCUCAAAGCUUGUUCUUCAUGACAGUGCCACGGUUAUUCAUUUACAUUCUACAUCUAGGGAUAUGAAUAAACUUAGACUGUUAUCAAUUAUAUCAUCGACACGAGAAAAUUUUCCAGAUGACCGGUACAACUGUUGAGCUGGAGUUCCCCUCCAAUUACAUGAUGCCACAUACAGCUGCAUAGAUUAGUUUUGUUUAAUAAAAAAUAAAAAGAAAAAGAAAAAACUUGUAGAAGGUGUAAAGUCACCCUCCCAGCGGCCGAUCCCACCAACCCAACGGCGACUCACUUCCAAUUGACGACGACGAAAAAGAUUUCAGCUUCCUCGAGGAACCCACCGACCACAGCGCCGCACCAUUCAGAUUCGGACAAUUACGACGAUUUCGAGAACUUCUCCGAUGUCGACGAAGACGCUUUCAGGAGAUGAUGGCAGGCUUGCCAGCCCCAAGACUCCUAAGUGGGUUUAUGGCAUUUUCAGUGAUGGGGAUGGGGUGGUGGCCAUUUUCGGUGAUGGGUUGAUGCAAUUUUGGGUUUUUGAUCAAAACCCAUCAAAAUUCACCACCACUUAAUCAAAAAUCCAAAUCAAACCCCAACAAAAACAAUCAAAUUCACAAGUUUUAUCAGAGAAAGAAAAAACAAAAAAAACAUGAACAGAUGAUGGAAAAGGGUGGAAUGGAUGCGGGUGGGGCGUAAUAGAAUGGAAAAGAGAGGAAUCUGUGUUCUUCAUUUAAUUAAUUUAAAUUAUAUUCUUAAAAUAAAUGUUAAUUGUCAUUAUAAAAGAUGAUGUCAACCUAGAUGUCAGAUGUUAAUAGGUGGAACACCGGGUCAGCAAAUGUACCCGUCACGUGGAAAAAUUUCUCCAUGGACACCAAUUAGGUAUUGGUGGAUGUGGGCAUGGCCAGGAAAGACUCUUCAAUCAACGAGUUUCUCUCUGGCAAGUGUACCCCCUUUUUUGGGAAGCUUAAGUUUGUCUUACUGCAACAUGUCAGGUUUCCAAUGAUCUGUGUACACUAUCUUUGUUGAAGCAUUUGAAUCUAAUUGGUAAUCCAAUUUUGUGCCUACCACAAAAAAUGAAGAGUCUUAUUAUGCUUGAGACUCUUUUGUUAGAUAAUUGCACGAACCUCAAAAUUCUUCCAGAGCUCCCACCAAGGUUGAAGAGGUUAGAAGCAAAAUAUUGUACUUCAUUGAAAAGAUUAAGAAAUUUACCAAACUUAUUCAGAUCAUUGGAAUCACUUUUUUGGGGUUGUGAGCAUUUAGUUGAAGUUGAAAGCUUGUUGAAUAUAAAACCGCUGAGAAAUGCUGACAUAGAAAUGACAAGAUAUAUGGGCCUGUGCAGUUUGAAAUCCAUAUCAAGCACUGGUGUCGAAAGAUCUCCAUCUAGCCAAAAUAAUGUUGUUGCUGGAGAUGUGUCAAUGUCAGCAUAAGAGUACCAAAUGUGGACAGGAAAAUACUUUCUCAGUAAUCAUAGGCACCGUACUCAUCAGGC